CCUGCUCCUAGAGGCAUUGCAGGUGUGGCUGUUGUGUCACAUGUGUGUCAGCAGGUGGCAGAGAUGAGAGAGGCUCUGUCUAUGCAUAGUGUUCUGACCUGUGAACAUCUGAGUGAUUAGCAGCCCAACAAU